GUUGGCCAACAUGUAUAUCUCUUGCUGUUUGGGUAUGGCAGUUUACGGCGGCACUGUCACUUAAAUAUUCUUUAUGAAAAGCCCAUAAUGACUAUUUUGUCUAGUGUAUGAUGGUAAUCACCUUGGGCAGACUACAUCUUACAUGAAGCACAACAGAUGGCUAUAGCAUCUCACUGCACUAAAGCAAGAUUAUCUAUGGAAGAUAGAGUUUUGGGGAUCUUCCAC